rnacentral:rRNA from 1 species
AAUAUUGGACAAUGGGGGCAACCCUGAGCCAGCCAUGCCGCGUGUGUGAAGAAGGUCUUCGGAUUGUAAAGCACUUUAAGCGGGGAGGAAGGGCUUUAGGUGAAUACCCUGCAGUAUUGACGUUACCAACAGAAUAAGCCCCGGCUAACUCUGUGCCAGCCGCCGCGGUAAUACAGAGGGUGCAAGCGUUAAUCGGAAUUACUGGGUGUAAAGCGCGCGUAGGUGGUUCAGUAAGAUGGGUGUGAAAUCCCCGGGCUUAACCUGGGAACUGCUUUCAUAACUGAUGAGCUAGAGUACGGUAGAGGGUAGUGGAAUCUCCUGUGUAGCGGUGAAAUGCGUAGAUAUAGGAAGGAACACCAGUGGCGAAGGCGACUACCUGGACUGAUACUGACACUGAGGUGCGAAAGCGUGGGGAGCAAACA